rnacentral:rRNA from 1 species
UACGUAGGGUGCGAGCGUUAAUCGGAAUUACUGGGCGUAAAGCGUGCGUAGGCGGUUCGUUGUGUCUGUGGUGAAAGCCCCGGGCUCAACCUGGGAACGGCGAUGGAUACUGGCGGGCUAGAGUGCGGUAGAGGGUGGUGGAAUUCCCGGUGUAGCAGUGAAAUGCGUAGAGAUCGGGAGGAACAUCAGUGGCGAAGGCGGCCACCUGGACCAGCACUGACACUGAGGCACGAAAGCGUGGGGAGCAAACAGG